rnacentral:misc_RNA from 1 species
AAAAAAAAAAAAUUUCUUCCACAUAUAUUUUUACAACGGAGAAGCAAUAUGACUCAAGUUUCAGCUGUCUGUGAGUCCAGUACAAAAUAUGUUAAAAAACACCAUCUUUAAAAAAUGGGAAAAGAAAACCAGUUCAGGAUCGGGAUGGCUUUCCUGUCAAGUUUAAUAAAAAAAGCCAAGAAGAAAGCCCUCAUAGAAAGAUGGGUUUCAACCUUUACCUUACGAUGAUGCUUAUUUUUU